GACGAACGCUGGCGGCGUGCUUAACACAUGCAAGUCGAACGGAAAGGCCCUGCUUUUGUGGGGUGCUCGAGUGGCGAACGGGUGAGUAACACGUGAGUAACCUGCCCUUGACUUUGGGAUAACUUCAGGAAACUGGGGCUAAUACCGGAUAGGAGCUCCUGCUGCAUGGUGGGGGUUGGAAAGUUUCGGCGGUUGGGGAUGGACUCGCGGCUUAUCAGCUUGUUGGUGGGGUAGUGGCUUACCCAGGCUUUGACGGGUAGCCGGCCUGAGAGGGUGACCGGCCACAUUGGGACUGAGAUACGGCGCAGACUCCUACGUGAGGCAGCAGUGGGAAAUAUUGCACAAUGGGCGGAAGCCUGAGGCAGCAACGCCACGUGCGGGAUGACGGCCUUCGGGUUGUAAACCGCUUUCGCCUGUGACGAAGCGUGAGUGACGGUAAUGGGUAAAGAAGCACCGGCUAACUACGUG
rnacentral:rRNA from 1 species